rnacentral:rRNA from 1 species
UACGUAGGGUGCGAGCGUUGCCCGGAUUUAUUGGGCGUAAAGGGCGCGUAGGCGGUGUGUCGCGUCGGCCGUGAAAACCUGCAGCUUAACUGUGGGCGUGCGGUUGAUACGGGCGGGCUAGAGUUCGGUAGGGGAGACUGGAAUUCCUGGUGUAGCGGUGAAAUGCGCAGAUAUCAGGAGGAACACCGGUGGCGAAGGCAGUGUCCUGGCGCGUAACUGACGCUGAGGUGCGAAAGCCAGGGGAGCGAACGGG